rnacentral:rRNA from 1 species
CCUACGGGUCGCACCAGUGGGGAAUAUUGCACAAUGGGCGCAAGCCUGAUGCAGCCAUGCCGCGUGUAUGAAGAAGGCCUUCGGGUUGUAAAGUACUUUCAGCGGGGAGGAAGGCGAUAAGGUUAAUAACCUUGUCGAUUGACGUUACCCGCAGAAGAAGCGCCGGCUAACUCCGUGCCAGCAGUCGCGGUAAUACGGAGGGUGCAAGCGUUAAUCGGAAUUACUGGGCGUAAAGCGCACGCAGGCGGUAUGUCAAGUCGGAUGUGAAAUCCCCGGGCUCAACCUGGGAACUGCAUUCGAAACUGGCAGGCUAGAGUCUUGUAGAGGGGGGUAGGAUUCCAGGUGUAGCGGUGAAAUGCGUAGAGAUCUGGAGGAAUACCGGUGGCGAAGGCGGCCCCCUGGACAAAGACUGACGCUCAGGUGCAAAAGCGUGGGGAGCAGACAGGAUUAGAUACCCCCGUAGUC